AUGCAAUUCCAACUGUAAACUGCCAGAAGAAAAGCUUUCAUGUGCCCACUUCUCCUAACGAUGUUUUCUCACCGCCAGCCGGAAGAUCAAAGGUUACAUCAUUGCAAGGGGCCUAGGAGAUCUGGAGGCAUUUCUUUGAAGAAAACUAAAACCCUUCAUCAAUUGUCACGAAUGAUUCUACUUUUAGAAGAAUGAAGGUGUAGUGUACUAAUAAUCAUCAGGAAUAUCAAGCCUAUGUUGUUUUGGACCUUUUUAAUAUCGUUUCUUAUGGUUCAUUUUGUGCAAGUUCAUUAAUGAAAACUUCAUUGUGAUGUGUUCCAUUAUUAAUUUGUUGUUCUUGUAAAUUGUCAAACAUCCAACAGUUGGAAGAACAACAACAUUAGAAGAAGUUGAAGACAAAAGAAUUUGAACUCUAACUUCUUGAAUUUCCAUAAUACGUGGUGCUACAAUCCCACAAACUUUACCAUUCUCAAUCAGUUUCAACAAUUCUAGUACUAUGGCCAGGAUAUUAAAACCUAAAAGUUUUAAAUUUUUUUUGGAUAACCAAUAAAGUUCCACGGGUCAUUCUUGAGUUAAUUUUUUUUCCCAUGUGGAUUACAAAUUCUUACUUCUAUCUCACAACCCCAAACAUGCAAGUGCCUUAUACUGAGUUACCUUCUCGUCUAGUAUUUAAAUUGAGUCUUUAGAACCGCCUUAUGAAGAACCCCUUUAUCUAUAUUCACAAUAGACUUUAAAUCACAUAUCUUCAAAAAGACAGGAAAAGAAAAAUUAAAUUACACUUCGGGGUAUUGUCUACUUACAUCAUACCCUCUGAUCGUAUUAAAUUUUGAAAGUGUCCGGUAUCAUGAAUAAGUAAUAAAAUGAUAAGUAAAGUAUCGCUCUCAUGAAAACUAGAUCGUUCCCACGAGAAACUAUGUACUAAACCUAUGAUCAGUAAAUGUUAACUUUAAUCGAAUAGCCAAAUAUGAUUGAAGAAUUAAUACUAGUUAACUAAUUAAAUUAUUCCAAUGAUCAAAUUAUGGAAAGCUUUGUAAAUUUAGAUAAGAUGAUUACUAAGACUUUGAAUCCCCAUUCUUAGUCCAUUUUAAUACAAUUCAAUAUCAUGAUAAUAUGUAUGUGUUUUUGUUGAUCGAUGUCCUAAAUUAUUUAAUAAUCUCUCUCGAGUAAAAUUAAAUCCUUCCCUUGUAUGACCUUUCUGUAUCUCUAUGAAAGAUGUAAACAUGGCAAUAUGCAUUAAGAGCCUAUUUGAUACCCAAAAAAAAAAAAAAAAAUAGGAGGAGCCUAUUUGAGCCCUUUAUUUUUGCCCAAAAUGUAUUUUGAUAUAGUAUUUUGAUGGAGAAUGUGUGGUUAGAAAAUAAGAAAUUUUUUUGAAUAUUUGUGUAAUAUUAAUAUAUUAAAGGAUGUGUAGUUGAAAAUAAGAGAAAAAAUGUAUUUUGAAAAUAACGGGGACCGAACAAGGACUAAAAACACUAGAACAUCUAUUGGAAUCAUACAAAUCAUAGAGGUAUCUCUCUAUCUCUUUUCGGACCUCAUAAUGGUUGUUAAAAGUGCAAUUUUCCAAUUAUCUCUCUCAAUAACAAUAAAAUUCGCAAAUCGAUCCAAUUAGUGAGCAAGUAAUUGAAAUGCAUUAAACAUAAUAACAAUCAUUUCAGAACAAACACAUAUUGAGCAUCCAAAUAUUGAAUUUAUAUUCAAAGCUUCAUAACAAGGGUUCAUCUAUAUCUUAGUAAAUAGAAAUCUAGCCUAAAAUUACAAAAGUACAAGAAAUUAUGAUAAUAUGUAG
rnacentral:lncRNA from 1 species